rnacentral:rRNA from 1 species
UCGAGAAUUUUUCUCAAUGGGGGAAACCCUGAAGGAGCGACGCCGCGUGGAGGAUGAAGGUCUUCGGAUUGUAAACUCCUGUCAUUGGUGAACAAGAUUCUGCCGUUAACUGCGGUGGAAUUUGAUAGUAGCCGAAGAGGAAGGGACGGCUAACUCUGUGCCAGCAGCCGCGGUAAUACAGAGGUCCCGAGCGUUGUUCGGAUUCAUUGGGCGUAAAGGGUGCGUAGGCGGCGGGGAAAGUCUGAUGUGAAAUCCUGGGGCUCAACCCUGGAACUGCAUUGGAUACUUCCUUGCUAGAGUACUGGAGAGGAAACUGGAAUUUACGGUGUAGCAGUGAAAUGCGUAGAGAUCGUAAGGAAGACCAGUGGCGAAGGCGAGUUUCUGGACAGUUACUGACGCUGAGGCACGAAGGCCAGGGGAGCAAACGG